AGAGCGAACGCUGGCGGCAGGCUUAACACAUGCAAGUCGAGCGGGCGUAGCAAUACGUCAGCGGCAGACGGGUGAGUAACGCGUGGGAACGUACCUUUUGGUUCGGAACAACACAGGGAAACUUGUGCUAAUACCGGAUAAGCCCUUACGGGGAAAGAUUUAUCGCCGAAAGAUCGGCCCGCGUCUGAUUAGCUAGUUGGUGAGGUAACGGCUCACCAAGGCGACGAUCAGUAGCUGGUCUGAGAGGAUGAUCAGCCACAUUGGGACUGAGACACGGCCCAAACUCCUACGGGAGGCAGCAGUGGGGAAUAUUGGACAAUGGGCGCAAGCCUGAUCCAGCCAUGCCGCGUGAGUGAUGAAGGCCCUAGGGUUGUAAAGCUCUUUUGUGCGGGAAGAUAAUGACGGUACCGCAAGAAUAAGCCCGGACUAACUUCGCGCCAGCAGCCGC
rnacentral:rRNA from 1 species